rnacentral:rRNA from 1 species
GACGAACGCUGGCGGCGUGCCUAAUACAUGCAAGUAGAACGCUGAGGAUUGGUGCUUGCACUAAUCCAAGGAGUUGCGAACGGGUGAGUAACGCGUAGGUAACCUACCUCAUAGCGGGGGAUAACUAUUGGAAACGAUAGCUAAUACCGCAUGACACUAGAGUACACAUGUACUCAAGUUAAAAGGAGCAAUUGCUUCACUAUGAGAUGGACCUGCGUUGUAUUAGCUAGUUGGUGAGGUAAAGGCCCACCAAGGCGACGAUACAUAGCCGACCUGAGAGGGUGAUCGGCCACACUGGGACUGAGACACGGCCCAGACUCCUACGGGAGGCAGCAGUAGGGAAUCUUCGGCAAUGGACGGAAGUCUGACCGAGCAACGCCGCGUGAGUGAAGAAGGUUUUAGGAUCGUAAAGCUCUGUUGUUAGAGAAGAACGGUAAUGGGAGUGGAAAAUCCAUUACGUGACGGUAACUAACCAGAAAGGGACGGCUAACUACGUGCCAGCCGCCGCCGUAACAC